rnacentral:lncRNA from 1 species
UAAUAUAUUGUAAGAUAUUACAUAUACUUGUACAAAAUAAUGUAUUAAUACAAUAACAUAUUAUUCUAUAAUGUAAUAUAGGCUUAGGCUACAAGCACACCCUAAGUUGCUAUAUGCAUACCCCAUUGUGUCUAUACACAUCCAAAACUUCUAAUUGGGUCAUCCAAAUCUCUUUUUCCUUGUCCCUGCGUGGUGGGUACUGGUCCCCUCUCCCUCUUCUUUGCGUCCGCGCAGGUCCUGCCGCCGCCUCUCUUCUAUUCUCCGCGCGUCCCAGUCUCCUUCCUUCUCUCCAUACGCAUGGUAUGCAUACCAAAACUGAAAUGCAGCUAUGCUGGAUAUGCAGCAGCAACUCAUCGGUUCCAGCAAGGUCAAAUAGAGCUUUCAGGUGGAAAUAUGGGUUCUGCCACAAAUGCAUUUCGAGCUGCUUGUCACUUCAACCCAAGUGCUGCAGCUUAUACGUUCAUGGCAUGAAUGCAAAGCAAAGUUGGUUUUUCUUGUGCCAUUCACCAAGAUGUGAUGUUUGCUGGUACAGAAGUAAAAGAAGAAAAUCAAGAGGUCGAGGUAUGCCACACCAAAACUCACCUCCUGGAUCUCGAAUAAGAGCUGCACAAAGUUCAAGCAAAGCUUUCUUGCAA